ACUAUGGGCAUACCUUAGUACGGCGAGUGAGCGGUAAAAGCUCAAAUUUGAAAUCUGGUACUUUCAGUGCCCGAGUUGUAAUUUGUAGAAUUUGUCUUUGAUUAGGUCCUUGUCUAUGUUCCUUGGAACAGGACGUCAUAGAGGGUGAGAAUCCCGUUUGGCGAGGAUACCUUUUCUCUGUAAGACUUUUUCGAAGAGUCGAGUUGUUUGGGAAUGCAGCUCAAAGUGGGUGGUAAAUUCCAUCUAAAGCUAAAUAUUGGCGAGAGACCGAUAGCGAACAAGUACAGUGAUGGAAAGAUGAAAAGAACUUUGAAAAGAGAGUGAAAAAGUACGUGAAAUUGUUGAAAGGGAAGGGCAUUUGAUCAGACAUGGUGUUUUUUGCAUGCACUCGCCUCUCGUGGGCUUGGGCCUCUCAAAAAUUUCACUGGGCCAACAUCAAUUCUGGCAGCAGGAUAAAUCAUUAAGAAUGUAGCUACUUCGGUAGUGUUAUAGCUUUUUGGAAUACUGUUAGCCGGGAUUGAGGACUGCGCUUCGGCAAGGAUGUUGGCAUAAUGGUUAAAUGCCGCCCGUCUUGAACCCACGGACCA
rnacentral:rRNA from 1 species